UUGGGAAUAUUGAGUUAGACAAGUCGGGUUAGGUUAAAUUAUGUUGAGUUUUGACUCGAUGUGCAUUGAAGUUGGUUUAUAUAUGAUUUUAAGCUUACAAAAUGGUAUCGAGCUAGAACUUUGUUUGACCUAAUCCAUUCCCACAUCUAAUUGUGAAGUUUGUAAUAUAUCUCGAACUACUUGAUUUUUUGUAGAAAUGGAUGACACCUCAAAUUCCUGAUCAUUUUUGAGAUGCCAGAUUGGCUGCAUUUAGGAGUCUUUAUUGGUCAUAGGUUGGAAGAUUUCCAACCAAUGGAAUUCCAAAUUUGUUCUUCUAGCUAUGUAAAUUAUCCACAGUCCUCUCAGGUGGUUCUCGCUAACAAAGGAUUUGUGAUUGAACAUGACAUAACAGCAAGAAUUUAUGUUCCACCAUCUGUUCAGUUGUUUAGGGUUGAAUGAAGAGCCACACCUGAAUGGUUGGUGCUAUGCAUGUAACUACAAAUUACAUUGUCCAUUCAUUAAUUUAGUUACUAUUAAUUUGUUAUCCACCUGAAGGGAUAGUAGGUGGUAUUAUUAAAUAGGACUUCACAAGGACAAAUCUAGGGUUGCCCAUGCUAGGGACAAGCCCAUGGACUUGAUCUAAAUUAUAAUCCUGAAUGAAAUCUUACACCAAUGCGCCGUUUGUACAGGCGACCAAACAAAAUAUUAUUAAAAGAAGAUUGCUUCCAUGUUUAUCAAAAGGAAAGAGAAAACUCAUCCAAAUUUAUUUAGUAAACAUCUAUUUUGUUGGAGAAUCAAGGUGGGCAGCAAACAGAAUUGCCAACAGCUAUGAUUGAAUAUACUAACCAACAAAUUUCCCAUCCUAGAAUUCCCUCAAAAGCAUAAAAGCUAAUGCUAAGCAAAACCUCAAAGAUCCCUUGAUAGUAAGGUGCAAACAACCCGCAUGAGCCAAAUAAUAGAGUGAUAGAGCUCAAUUCAUUGCAUAAAAGUGGUAUUUGAACUUGAGUCGAGCUUGAUAAAAAUAGUCCAAGCUUAGCUCAUGUAUCAAGUGAAACAAGCUCGAGCAUGCUUCUUAUCAAACCUAGCCAAACUUUUAUUUAUUUUUACAAAAUCAGAAUAUUUAGGCUUGGGUUAUUUACGAGCUAAGCUUCAAUCUGAAUCCAAGCUUGACUACUUUCCUCAUCACAC
rnacentral:lncRNA from 1 species